AUACAGUAAUCUACAUGUAUGUUUUUCUUUUACUAGUCCAGCUGUGGUCUGUUAGUAAUUAUCACUGGUAUCUUAAACAAGAGAUACAGUCGUCAAAAACCACACCUACUGAUGAGACUACGCCCACUCAUUAUACAGGUGUUGUAUGGGAUCCAAUUGUACCAUUACAUCUUCACACCUUGCUGAACAAUGGUCAGUAUAUACAGUAUAAUUGGAAGAGGGGUGUGGUCACCAGUACCUCGUUAAAUGUUAAUAAUAAUUCAACAGUGGCAGUAAUUGAUGGAGAGGUGUUAUUAUUGACACCUUUUCGUGAUGUUAUCAUUCCUCCUCCAAUGAGUCAUAAGCGACUUAUGUUCCCAUCUCCUGUUGUCAUGGCAACUUUUUGCCCCACCCCCUACCCCCAACGACCUUUUUAUAGUACUGUCUGAUGGAUCAGUCUACGUUGCAAAGUCCAGCACUAAGAUGGAAUACACCUUAACUAACCUCAGGUUUCCAUGUAUGGAAGGUGACGGUUUUUCUAUUCAUAAGUUGCGUCAGAUUGUGUGGGGGGCUGAUGGUUUAUUAGUAGGUAUAGUCAACAAAUCAUGUGAUGAAGACUCUAUUGUUGAAUACGAAAUUAAUGAAUCCUGUAUCACUGAAAGGAUGUCUACUUCUUGUGAUGGGCGUGUCUUGUGUCUCCAUGGCAACCCAGAUACGGGAACCAUCAUUUUUGAAGAUGUCAAGGGAAAAGUUUUCACUUACAA